CUUGAGGCCAUUUAGGCUCCACGUUCUCGCGGCGUCGCGGUGCACGUGCGUGACCCCACGAGGACCCGGCUGCCUUCGGCCGUGGCUGCCCAGCCACAUCUCCCAGCAGGAGCUGUAGCGCCGCUGUGCGGACCCACCCGCCUAGUGCUCCGCUGCUCCAGGUAGGCGUCCGCAGGUCCCCAGCCGCCACCGGUGAAAAGGUUCACGGAAAAAUGUGAUAUAUUAAAGAAACAACUGGCAAGAGCUGGUUACAUGGACACCACCGCAAGAAGACUGGGCAUGGAGGAAGAGCAUGUGUUGUUUGGUCCACCUCUCCCCAUAGGGAGCACUGGACUCACACUAUUUGGGAACAGAGACUCACAAUAGGCCAACAAAAUUAUGCUUCUAAGUGACUGUUUUGGAACCAAAGCAAUGGCCACUAAGAAAGUUAAUAAAAGACUUUUUCCCCAAAUUUAA